GAUGAAGAACGUAGCGAAAUGCGAUACGUAAUGUGAAUUGCAGAAUUCAGUGAAUCAUCGAGUCUUAGAACGCACAUUGCGCCCCCUGGUAUUCCGGGGGGCAUGCCUGUCCGAGCGUCAUUGCUGCCCUCAAGCACGGCUUGUGUGUUGGGCCUCCGUCCUCCUCCCGGGGGACGGGCCCGAAAGGCAGCGGCGGCACCGCGUCCGGUCCUCGAGCGUAUGGGGCUUCGUCACCCGCUCUUGUAGGCCCGGCCGGCGCUUGCCGACACAUCAAUCUUUUUUCCAGGUUGACCUCGGAUCAGGUAGGGAUACCCACUGAACUUAAGCAUAUCAAUAAGCGGAGGA
rnacentral:misc_RNA from 1 species